AACUAUAACUUUAUCUAAUUUUAGAAUUAUUAGUCAUGAUAUGCAUACAAGAAGUGCUUGAUUUUAACGAUAAUUUAUCUCUCGUGUAGAAAGUCACCAUAUUUAUGCCCAUAUGAAACCAAUAUAAAUUUUGUUCAAUAUCCCUUACAAACACAAUUAAAUUAGUUUCAUAGCUAAAGUUUUAAUAGGUACUGUUGAUUUGUUGAUUCUGUGGGUCAAUUUCCUUUUAUUGGUUUUUUUAACUUAACGGGUUAAACUAGACCUGGCAAACGGGUCGGGUCGGGUCAUGGGUCAACCGGGUCGGGCCAAAACGGGUCAAUUAGAAAAGGGGUUGUUUUGGUUCGCGUCAAGACGGGUUCGGGUCGAAAUGGGUUCGGGUCACAACGGGUCAAUUUAAAGUUGCAGGUUGUCUGUCGAAUUUCGGACAAUUUCAGUUGAUUUUCGAUAAGUUUCGGUAUAUUGUAUGUGUAUUUCAGACUGAUUCAAUGUGUUUCGGUGUGAUUUCGACGAGUUUUGAACUGAAUUAUUUGAUUUUAGGUGAAUUUUGAACAAGUUUUUGAUCUGUAUGAGAUCGAUUAUUGUUCAUUUCGAUCUGUUGCAUUGAUUUUCGAUCAAAAUUUCAAUCAUUUUGAACUUGUUUUCAGGUUGUAGUUUCGAAUAUUUUGAACUGUGUACAUUGAGUUCGAAAGAUUUUCAAAAAAAAAAAGAAUUUGUUUAGAUUUGUAAAAGAUGAGCAGGGCUGUUUGUGAUCUGAUAUAGCAUGUAUGAUCUGAAACAAAUAGAUUUUGUCGAAGAAGAUGACCUGGGCUGGGAUGUGAAACUGAGUGUUAAUCUGCCAGUACCGUUUCGAACCGAACCGUGUCAACCAGUAUCGGUUCGUGUCGAAACGGUUCGAUUCGAAACGGUUCGGGUCGAAAACGGUACUGGUAGAAACGAUGCGGGUCGAAACGGUACAGAUUGAACUGUUCGCGUCGAAACGGUUCGCGUCGAAAUGUUACGCAUCGAAACGGUUGGCGUCAAAGCGAUUCGCGCCGAAACAAUUUGGUUUUAUUUUCUACCAGAGAAUGAUGACAUUGAUAAAGCUCCUUCAGAUGUUCAAUCCAUUUUGUUACCUUUGGUAGAGGGUUCUAGCUCCUAAUAUGACACAAUCCUUUUCAAAACAGCAACCAAGGAAGAAAUCACCGAGAACGACAAACUUACUCUUCAUGGACGCGACGAAUCCGCAAUGGGGUUGGAGUUGGUUAGAGCGAUACAUGGCGGGCCAGCCAUGGGAGACCGAGAAAAAUCAAUCAUCAGUUAAAAACGGCAUCAACAACAUUAACGACAUCAACUUGCUGGUGUUUUUCUAAGCUUUCAGUCUCCUGUUGAAAUUCCCGGAGUCAGCAAUAGUUACUUUCUGCAGAUGGCGUACAAUGCCAGACGAAGGAAACUUGGUCAACCUGAGCUUGAUCCACUUCAGGUGCUUGGGGCAGAUUUGGCGAUAUUGGAUGAAAUUGAUUUUGGAUUAGAUGUUGACGCGCUAAGAGACGUUUCAAAAGCAGUCCCUUCAACAUAUAUAAAUUUUACUAUUUCACUGUUAAUUUACUUUUACGUUUGCAUCUAUCAGAAUCUCCGGCUGAAUUUUUUGCGGAGAACAAAAAUAUUGCCGGAUUUGACAACCCUGGGAAAUCUCUUACACUACUGUUAGAGAACUUGUUGAAAAUGCACUUGAUUCUGCAGAGUCCAUUGCUGAGCUUCCGUUAGUUGAAGUUACAAUUGAGGAGAUUAAUAAAAGCAAAUUCAGUUCCAUGAUUGGUCUGAUUGACCGUGAGCGAAUUGAUGAGGCGCUGUACGGUAAUUUUGAGACCGACAAGGCUCGUGAGGUCUGUAAGUUGUAGUUUAAUUUUUCAACAAUGAAUUGUUGAUGACUUGAUGUAUUAUAGAUUAGAAGUUGAAUCAUGUACGCGUUAGUGAAUAAGUUUGAAAAACUCGAAACAAUAAGUUCUUUUAACAGCUUAGACAUCUUAAAAAACUUGUAUUCACUUAUGUUGUUUCACCUUUCACUGCUUCUUGUUCUGUUAUUAGAAACGGCUUGCCAAAUAAGCCCGUUUGCAAGAAGUUCAGGCGAAAAAUGCUGCCCUUGGGAAGAACGUGAAAGAACCGACUUCUGCAAAGGCCGUUAAGGGUCGAGGCGAGGCCUCGUUUUACAGAGUGACUUGUAAGGACAAUGGACGAGGAAUGCCCCAUGAUGAUAUCCCAAAUAUGUUCGGACGUUGCCCAAAGAGUGUUUCUAAUGCUAAACAUCCUAAAAUGCAUUAUAUAAUUCUUAUUAUUGUUAUUAUUAUGGUUUCUGUUAAUUACACAUCGUGGAAUGAAGGCGCGCCUCAUGUAGUUUUGGGUCACAA